CAGAACCACAGCUGUGUGCCUACACAGGGAACGUUUGCAAGGCAUUCUGUUUUAUUCUUCGCUGCAGGUCUCAGAAUGUCCACUGAGGAGGGAACGCUUUGAACUGGGCAUCAAGCUCUGGGCCCGAUUCCAAGUCAGCUCUAAAAACAGUCGGAGCUACCCCGGGUCCUCUACUUGCUGGGUGGAAAGGCUGAGAGAGUGGCUCCUCACGUCUGCGUGGUCCCCCAUGUCGUCUGCACGGCCCUGCUCUAAGCCAAGGCACCCACGAGGCAAGGCGCUUUUCUGAUGGCAGGACAUCCUCUCCCCACCCAGACCCCCAGCAAUUUCUCACCAGAGAGACAAAGCAUCUUUAUUUUAAAGGCUCCACGUAGCAUGUCCAGAAAUUUCUCCUGCUAUUAAGGAGGGGGUAGGGUGGGGAAAGGGCCGAUGAAGCUACUUACUUAAUGGCUCCUAACAGCUGUGGAAAGUUUGAUGCAGCAGGAGCACCCAGACAGAAAAUUAAAAAACUAAUAAAGUCCUCAGUGUGGGGGCACUGGCAUCAGGACAGCUUUACUUCUCCAGACACCUAAUAAAGAGACAUUCCGGGACACUCACUCAUAAGGGGAGUCUGCAGGGGUCACAGAGAACAGUGGAAAGCGAGCCAUGGAAACAUAGCAGUCACUCACAUCGCCGCGGGGAAGGUGUAACAGUGGGAAGUUUGCUGGCUUGGAAUCAGACCAUGCUUUGAAUUUGAGCUGUGUCAUUCAUCAGAUGAAUGACUUCACAGAAGUCAACUUAACCCUUCUCAUACUCAGUUUUUUCAUCUGUGAAAAUGGCAUUUGUUCAGAUAAAGUUAGAAGGGACAGGUGAAGGCGUCAAGGACGUUGCCCACCUUUGGUAUGUACUCAGUAAAGGUUGGUUUUUCUCCUCCCCACUUCCCAUAGGAGGGAUUUGGUAAAGAACACAUGUCAUUACCCUCAUGGAGUUUCCAGCUUCAUUGCUAAGUUUUUUUCUCAACUUUUUCCCAGUGGGUCUCAAACCUGAGUGAGCGUCAGAAUCCUCUGGAAGGCUUGUUAAAACACAGAUUGUUGGGCUCCACCCCAGAGUUUCGCAUUCUGUAGCUCUGGGAUGGAACGAAACACUUUGCAUUUCUAACAAGUUCCCAGAUGCUGCUAAUGCUGUUGAUGUAGGGACCGCACUUUGGGGAGCUCAGCUUUAUCAUGUUUUACCACAGGGCGGACCCUAUUGGUUACUCACCCAACAGCCACCCUUCUUCCCUGCUGACAUAGCCCUGAAUUGAUCUGUGUGAGCUGUCAGUGAGGAGCCCGGUGUGGGGCUCAAACCCACGAACCGUGAGAUCAUGACCUGAGCUGAAAUCAAGAGUGGGAUGCUUAACUGACUGAGCCACCCGGGCACCCCAGCACAGAAAGAUUCUUUGAUUUGUCUCUAAUUCAGUGCCAGAAGAUGUAUCAUGAUGGGUCAAAAGCAGUCAAGAUGUAUGAUGAUGGGUCAAAAGCAAUCAUGGUUAUCUCGGCUCCCUUCGCCACUCAUCAAUCUCAAGAUGGGCAAGUGCCCCACAGUGUCUAAAGAGAUGUGAGAAUGGAUUGGCUGAGAAAGACUCACAGGGAGAAGAGCUUCUGCCCCUUGCCCAUUCUUCCUGAAUGUGUACAUAUAGAUGAAGUUACAAUAGUCAUCUUGUGAGCAAGAGAAGACAAACAUGAGGAGGACCAAGAUCGCAGGGAUAUUAAGACAGAAAUACAGAAAGAAUCUAGAUCUCCUAAGGCAUCACUGAGUGUGCCCUUUGAGUUGCCUACCUUGACUUGUUCUUAAGUGAGGAAAAUCCACUCUUCUUUUUUGAAACCCCUGUAAUCCAUUUGUUGUUACUUGCAGCCAAACACACUCAUGAUUGAUACGACCUAUUGCAGUUCUGUGAUUUUGGUAACGUUGACCCCAUGUCAUAGAUGAAGACAGCAAGGCUCGGAAAAAAGAAGUUGACAUAUAGUGGUAGAGCUUAGAUUCCAACUCAAGUUCCCUGAUUGUAAGCCCUUGGCAUUCUCCAAUGACCUAUAGCCUAACCAGUCUUAUUAUUCCUUCCUACCAAAAUAUGUAUUAUUCUGUUUUCCCUUAUAUUAAGGAAGAAGGACUUGAGAAGUCCCAUCUGUUCUGAGAUUUUCUUGUACCUCUGUUGUCAGCCAGCUGACUUUCAUUUCCUAAUUAAGUAGUUAAUUCUACCCACAUUUACCUGUAUAUAUAAAUAAAACCUUUGGACUUUGAUAUA